CUGGGAACCAACACUUGUUUGUAAGACUUUGUUGCGUGUUUUUGACUUUUGUUUUGUUUUCAGGUCAGACAGUGCUGCACUUUAAGAAACUGAAGCGAAUGCUACACGCUAGCGUUGCUAAACGGCUAGCAGUUAAGCAGUGGGAUUAAAGACCCGGAUAAGAGACGGUGGCGGAUGAUACCGAAUGGAUGAACCACCUGGCGAUCUGAUAUGUGAACACGAGUGAAGUCUAACAUCUGCAAGUCAAUGGAUGCAAUGCUGUGGAAUUUCCCCAGCUUCCCUCUCCAUUCUUUCAAACUGCAUUUUCAGCUCAGUUAUCUGAAGCCUGGAGAUGGGGGCGUUUGAUGCAGGAUGUUUGAGCCAUUGUGAACAUGACAACCAAAACGUUUGCUUUCAAUGAGUGGAAAGACUUGCAUCUGAGAGCCGGUGAGCACAAACAGCUUUUUUAGAAAAUGAAGUAGAUAUUUCUCCUUUCUGGAUUUGUCCUCUUUUGUGAGUCAUUGUAUUUAUAGUUCAACUCACCAGAUGUAGAUUUCGAGUACAAGUCUCUCCUUCUACUGCACAUUUCAUGCCACGUUCUCCUUUCCUUUCACUAUUUGUGUCUUACUAUUUUCAAAGUCUCCUUAGUUAUAGGAUGGCAACCACAUCUGAGCAGCAACCUACAUGCUGAAAAUUAAGUUUUGCAGAGGGCUUGGAUAAUGCAAUGGGACAGACUGCUUGUUUGUUUUGGUAAAUGAGCCGUUUUAAUGCCAGUGCUCACCUCCCUGUGUACAAAUGUUCCAAAUCACCUCCCUGGUCAUUGUUUUGCAGCAGUGUUGUUGCUUACAGUUUUUCUCAAUUGAUCAGACACUAAAUUCCAUUCACUGCACACAGCCACCAACUGACUGCACACAUUUCUCAAAAACAGGACUCUGCUGUCAAAAUUUUGGACACUAUUCAUGGUUUGCACACAGUUUCCAAAACUCUUGCACUCUUUUUGCAAAAGACUGAACAUGUUUUUUUGCUGAUUUGAACACACUUUUUCCACUCAUAGCACACAUUUUUCAAAAAGUGAACACUAGGAAGCACACUAUAAAACCUGCUGGGAAGCAGAAUUAGCUGUUCAGAAUGGAUGUCAGAGGAGCAAGAGGUCAUGUUGGAAGAAGAGAACGUGGACGACCCAGACCACGGCCAGAACCAGAACCUGGACCUGCCCAUGGUCCUGGACCACUUUACAUGGUUUGUAAAUGUUGUUUGUCACUUCAGUGACAUGUCUAUACUGGAACAAUACAAGCAGUCAGAAAUGUUCUGAGAAUACUGUAAAAAAUCUAAUGUAUAAUUCUGGUUCACAAGUGCUGGUAAAAUUACAGAAAGUGUACGACUGACUUUUUCUCUGUUUUGUGUGCGUUUUGAGAGUUUUUCAACUGGAUUCUGAUGAUACAUGAAUGCAUCUAUGUGGAUGAGGCUGGUUUCAACUUGGCCAAGAGGAGGAGAAGAGGGAGGAACAUCAUUGGACAACGGGCUAUAGUCAACGUCCAGGUCAGCGUGGAGCAACAUAACCCUCUGUGCUGCAAUAAACAAUCAUGGAGUAAUUGAUCAUCAUGCAGUUCUGGACCAAUACAACACCCAGCAUUUGUUGACUUUCCUAGAUGGACUUAGAGAUCUACUGACACGGUGCAGCAGGACGUUUGACAAGAAGAUGCAGUUUUUGUUGUUGUCUGGGACAAUGUUAGUUUUUACAGAGGACUAUUGAUUCAGGAAUGAUUCAAUAUGAACCCUCAAGUUAUUGUGGUUUUUCUGCCACCAUAUUGUCCCUUUCUGAAUCCUAUAGAAGAAUUCUUCUCUACAUGGAGGUGGAAGGUAUAUGAGCAGCAGCCAUACUUUGGGAAAAUCUCUAUCAAUCAGUGGUCUUGGCAUGUGGUGAUGUUUCUGUUGAUGCAUGUCAGGGCUGGAUCAGACACACUACGUCUUUGUGUCCAGAGAAAACAUAGCUAGUGAUGUUGAUGAGGUCCUGUGGCCUGACCAGGCUGAAAGAAUUGAUGCAGACGUGGUGUAAAUAUCUGCAUUCUGUACUGUGUACAAUACAGUGCUGUAUUUAUUUAUUUUUUUGUAUAACAUUAUUUUUAUUUUAUAAUGUACAGUCAAGCACUGCAAUGGACCCUCUGAUUCAUUUAUAGGAUGCAUUUGUGUUUAAGUUGUCAUUUUUGAGAACUGUAUAGUUUUUUUACACUUCAUGUGAAAACACUGAGAGAAGAGUGUUUUGUAUUUAGCAGUGCAGUGUCCUGCUUUUGCUUCGUGUGUCUUAAUUUUGAAAACAAAGUUCAAAAUUUGACAAUAAAGUAUGGUUUUGACACA